CCGCGUGCUUGGAAUUAUCUAGGAGGGAAGAUGAAAUGCGAGGAGCUGGAGGCUCUGUUGUUAAGGGAGCGAUUCUGAAUCUAAAGAAUCCUUAGGUGGAAGGAGCAGCCACCCUGGGAGGAUCAGAGCGCUUCUCCAGCUCUUCUGCCUUAACGCAGGUGGUAUUAUCCUGGACUGAGGAAAGAAAAUGUUAUCUUCAUGCAGAAUUUAUGUCACGCACCUAUUAACCUCUAUGGCCCCUCGGACAGGGUUAAGUGGUUCCUGAAGAAGUGGCAUCAUCAGGAUCGUGAGGUUGCUGCAGUCACCGGUGGAGAGACAAGUGAAGGUCUAAGCAGAAUGAAGACUUUUUACAGAGGCCAUUGGUAACGGGAACAAACCCUCUCCUGUCAAUGUAGACCUCCAAAGGACAUAAACCGGCACUCCUGUUCCUCCCCCCAGCAUGCGUAGUAGGUGCUUAUUAGACAGCUGAUGGUCCUGCUCACUUCACCAGUAGCUGUGACCUUUCCUGCUAGGGUGUCAAUGCCUGACAAGAAGGUAAUGCUAUUGAGUGAUUCAAGUGAAUACAUGAGGAAGAAACAAUAAAGCCUAAAUUUUAGGUAAGUUUGUGAAGAUCCUACUCUAAAAUGUAAAACAGCAAGGUUUAUAGCCGAAAUCAAUC
rnacentral:lncRNA from 1 species